CAGACCUCUGAUCAGGA
rnacentral:rRNA from 1 species